GCUCCUGUUCAUGCAUAUCUAUCAAAAUUAAGCGCCAUGUUCUUGCCUAGGUCUGAGCGCUAAAGACAAAUUGUAUCAAUACAUUUCUCCUAAUUGUCUUUUCUCUUUGUGUGAGUGUUUCCAAUUGAACUGCAUUUUAACAGGAAGAAAACUCAGGGAAAACCAGGCUCCGUAUGAGCAGCCUUUUAUCUGAGGCCGACUGACGAUUCAAGAAGGACGAGUGCACCAGAUCAGAUUCAAAAAGCUUUCUACACUUCAGUGAAUGAUCCUGGUAAACCAGAUGCAUUCCACCUGUGCAUAAGAUUAGAAGACUGGAAUGCUACUUAUAAAAAUAUUGGCCACUUGUCCAGUGGUGAGUUAUGAUUGUUUUUGAUUGGUCUGUCUUCUUUACAUUAAUUUUUCUCUUUUUGACUUAAAUAGAUGAAAAAACAAAUGCUGUGCCAGCCAGUAAUUAAGGAUUAAUACUUCUGUUAUCUGUCGGGAUAUAAGAAGGAUGAGAAGCAGCUGAUUUGUUUUAUAUACAAAGAUAAAACCAAAUAAUAAAAAAAAACAUUAAUAAUCUAAAAUAAACUAAAGAAACACUGUAAAAUUAAGUCAAGGGCAAAGAGAAAAAUAUUUCCCUGGAGUUGCUGCAAAACCAGCUGACAAACAAGCCCCUAGUCCAUUUCAUAGAGUAUUUCAGCACAACUGCCCUUUAUGUAAAUACUACAUUUUUCAUUUCAGGGUACACAUGUUUUCUUCCGAGGACGAAAGAAACGGGUGUUUAACAUUUUAUACUUAGUGAUUUUCUUCUUGAGGGAUGUUAACUUUUGUUUUUCAAUACAAAUUUUUUAUUUAUUUUCUGUUUAUUGUAUUUGCAU